rnacentral:rRNA from 1 species
GAUGAACGCUGGCGGCGUGCCUAAUACAUGCAAGUCGAGCGAACGGACGAGAAGCUUGCUUCUCUGAUGUUAGCGGCGGACGGGUGAGUAACACGUGGAUAACCUACCUAUAAGACUGGGAUAACUUCGGGAAACCGGAGCUAAUACCGGAUGAUAUUUUGAACCGCAUGGUUCAAAAGUGAAAGACGGUCUUGCUGUCACUUAUAGAUGGAUCCGCGCUGCAUUAGCUAGUUGGUAAGGUAACGGCUUACCAAGGCAACGAUGCAUAGCCGACCUGAGAGGGUGAUCGGCCACACUGGAACUGAGACACGGUCCAGACUCCUACGGGAGGCAGCAGUAGGGAAUCUUCCGCAAGGGGCGAAAGCCGGACGGAGCAACGCCGCGUGAGUGAUGAAGGUCUUCGGAUCGUAAAACUCUGUUAUUAGGGAAGAACAUAUGUGUAAGUAACUGGGCACAUCUUGACGGUACCUAAUCAGAAAGCCACGGCUAACUACGUG